CAAUAGCGUAUAUUUAAGUUGUUGCAGUUAAAAAGCUCGUAGUUGGAUUUCGGAUGGGAUUUGCCGGUCCGUCGUUACGAUGUGCACUGGCCAGUCCUAUCUUGUUGUCGGGGACUAGCUCCUUGGAUUCACUUCCUGGGACUAGGAGCUGACGAGGUUACUUUGAGUAAAUUAGAGUGUUCAAAGCAAGCCUACGCUCUGAAUACAUUAGCAUGGAAUAACACGAUAGGACUCUGGCUUAUCUUGUUGGUCUGUGAGACCAGAGUAAUGAUUAAGAGGGACAGUCGGGGACAUUCGUAUUUCAUUGUCAGAGGUGAAAUUCUUGGAUUUAUGAAAGACGAACUUCUGCGAAAGCAUUUGCCAAGGAUGUUUUCAUUA
rnacentral:rRNA from 1 species